AUGAAUUUUUUUAAAAUUUUUCUUAACCUUACUUCCAUGUAUGCGAGUUAGAACGUUACAAGAAUCCAUCCUAUGAAAUCUAGAUUUCAUGUUUUCACACUUUUCUAUUAAAUUUUGUUCUUUUAUGAUUUUAACGUUGUUUUGUUGAUCUUGAUUAUAUUCCAACUCUUCAAUCAGAUCCGAAUGUGUAAAGAAAGAAGAGUAUGGAUGUUGACAAUUACAUGCAAUGGUUGUUGUUUGUAUGAAAUGAAUAUCUAUUUUAUUUGAUCAUUUUGGAAAGAUACAAACUUAAAUAUAAUAAGUGAGAAUGAAUACAUGUAUGUCAAUGGUUUUUUUCUCUUUGAUUUUUGGGAAAAAGAAACUAUAUUUGCUCGCGCUUCUUUUGAAUUAUCGAUGGAAGAGCCCAAAAUUCUCAUGGGGCCAGAUUGGAGUGCAGGCCGAAGAUCACGACAUUGUCUUUAAUCUAGCCUUCAAAUUCCAGUGCUUUGUGUGAUCAGACUUGAAGAAGGACAUGGCAGAGCAUAAGAAUAUUUUCCCACAUGCCACCAAAAAUUGCAGCACAAACCCAGCCAAAUUAUUCCAUAUUCUUCUGAUGAAAAUGCCAGUGGGGAGCUUGGUACUUACAAACGGCUGCUUCCUUUUUGCCCAUCCAUCAGAUGUUUGAUAAAAUGGCUGAAUCAUUUUUCAGACGUACUGGUUCCUCUGCCGAUGUCAAUUCCCAUGGUGGGGUUUAUCCUAUUGUCUGGUUUCUUCAAGAGGAAGAACAAUGCGCUUUCCUUUGUCAAGAAGGCCCUCAGGUUUCUAAAGGUGUCUUAAACAAGGAUGGUCCACCAGAAGCUUCGAGUACUAGAAAAACUCAUUCCCAUCAAUGGUAAAAUUGGACUCAAAAGACCAGCACUUGAUGUUUUGUCUCCGACAUUUCUACACCAAACAUGGCCAUGGAACUAUUAGAUCACUGGAAUGAUGACUAUGAAGGGAUCAUCAUUAAUUCAGAGAGCCUACCCUCCAAGCAUCUCUCUUCCAAUUGAGACUCAAGUGGAGAAAAGGGAUGUGGCUCAAACUUAGAUACAGAGCAGGCUGAACUAGUUUCUGUGGCUAUUAACGAAGGGUUCAACUAUCAUCAUGCUGAAGCAGGAUAUGUCAUGCUCACUUACUGGAUUCCUGAUUUGCCCUCCAUGCUUCCUUCUGGCCCCUCCCAUCAUAUUGGUGUUGCAACAUUCCCAUCAAUGACAACAAGGGGAUGGAUUCAAUGUUCUUGCUUCUUGGGAAUUGCGUUCAGGUAUGGGUUCCUUCAUUUAUUGCCAAAUUAUGUUCUGUUAUUAGAAAAAUAUCAAAUUAUCAGACUAUCAUUCAGGAAUUGCAAAAGAAGGAAAUUUGAAUUGCUUUAUUAUGUCGGUUGGGGCUUGUGUGACACACAGAUCCUUGCAUGCAUUUUUGUCCAUUAGUUUUAGUUUUAGUCCUUCUAACGUACAUUAUACUUCAUUCUUAGUCCUGGUUGUGGAAAAAAUAUAUUGUUUCAAGUAAUUUAAAAUGUAAUCUAUCAUACAUAAAUCAUAUCUAGAUUAUCACUUCGAUGAUAAGAAAUAAAGUGUAUGCGUAGGAGUAUUUUAAAAGAAUAUAGACUUAUUUAUUCCUUUUAUAGGCAAUCUAACUUUUUUCCUCACUUUUCUGAGUUCUAUUCACAUUAGGGAAUAGAUAAUGGAUGUAAUGCCUGAUUUUGGAGAUAAAUGAAUGAACGAGGAUUGCAAGUUAACAAAGGCUUAAACGAAUUGAUAGCUACCUGUAAAUCCUCUACCAACAAGGUGUAUGUUUUUUGUUUAUGGCUCAAUAAUAAGAACUUCAAAGUAAACCUAGGGAGAGGAAUAAGCAAGUUGGGAGGAUUCAAGACAAACAAGGAUGGGAGUGUGAAGAAAUUCGGAUUCCAAAUCUUGAUACAAGGUGUUAGAAUUGACAUCUAUAUUAACAGAGUAAUUAUUCAAAUAGGUCACAGAUUUAGGUAUUAAAACUAUAUUAAACCAACCAAAUAAACUACACAAGAAAAGUAUUAGUGAAAUUAAUUUGAAUGAUGAAGCAAGAUAAGGAAACUGAAGGGGAUGAUGAUUAGUGAGGGUUUUUUUUGUAGAACCAAUGGAUGGGCUUUUGAUGAGUUUAUUAGUAUGAAGCCACCAGUUUUAGGAAGAAGACUAGAUUUUCAUAGCCGCCCAUGAGGGCCACUACACUGGAUUCCUGGCCCAUUAUCUCCUUUCCAAGUUGGACCUAAGAAUUUCUUCUUAGCUUAAAUCAUAAAAGAAAUUUCAUUUGUUAUCUUAGUUGAGAAUUCGUGUUUUUUUUAGGACUAUUCUAACUUUCACAUCAAUAUUUAACAUAAUUGAUUUUUGAAAUUGUAAACAAAAUAUUUUUUUAAUUAUCAAAUACCAAAUUUGUUAUAUAAUUUAUAACUUCCAUAAUUAUUUUCACAUUUAUAGUUGUAUUUAUUAUUAGAAUGUCAUUUUAACGUGGAUAUACUUAUAAUAGGGUAUAAAUUCUUAUAUAGUAUGGUAAUAAUAUGUUUAUUAUUUCUAUAAAUUAACUCUUUUCAAUUUCAUAAUCAACCCAAAACUAUUUUUCAGAGAUGUUAAAUUUCUCUAAUCAUUAUUUCAUUUUGAUUUACCGAUUUCGUUCUUCCUUCUUCCUUCUUCCCUCGUGAUUUCCUUACGAAAUAUCUGGUUAGUUGUGUUUUUUCUUCUUAUUGUUCAUUCUGUUGGUCUUUUAGCUAUUAUUUUGGGUUCUUCGUCUUCUAGUUCAUUUCAAACCGACAUCUAUUUAGAUGGAGACAUUUUUUUUAUAUAAAUAUAAAUGUCUAAGAUAGAUUCCACCUUCAAACUUAAGAUACAUGACAUAUUUUCAACAUAAGCUUUGUUGAAACAGUCAUCUCUAUUAGAGGCAACUUUCAAUAUGUUACAACUAAAUCAGACAAGGGGGUUUUGAUUUUGCACUGCGUAAUUGAAGAUUGUUUAUUGUCGCUAUGUGCUUCUUGUUGUUUCAUGGGAUAAGACAUUAUCGGUUCUUACUAGGUUCAAUUAUGAACAUAAUGUUCCUUUAACAGAUCAUAGAUCACAGAUAGGCUACUUUUUCUAAUUAAGUACUUAAUAAAAAAAUAAAAUAAGUUUAGCUGGUUCGAAGUUGUCCACAUAUAUAGUCCACUACAUUUGUUUUGAGCAUGAUUUAAGUAUUAGUUACCAAAAAGCAUAGUGUGCGCGUGAGACGCAUUUGAUGAAGUUAGAGGAUCUCCAAAAGACUCUUACAAGAUGUUACCAAAGUUUGCUUACAUGCUGAACUCAACAACCCAUGUAUACCUUUAAUAACAUUCUUAUAUAAGAAAUAACCAUGAUAACCAUCACAGUCCUCAUGGUUAUUCCAAUCUGUGAUAUUUUUUUCUUGAACUGUUGCAGUACUCUCAUCUUUCAGAAGUUUUUUCAGGCCUUCAACCUCCACAGAAGGUUUGUCUAGAUUCAUGUUCAAUGUUUUAUUCUUGGCCAGCAUUAUUUCCAAAUUAGGAAGUACUUAGAAAUUUGAACAUUAAUAUCCUCAGCUUCUUUUGAGCAUUAUCCUUUUUCAAAUUUUCUAGUUUCACAUUCAUAGAACGUGCUUCGUUCCAUGAACUCUUCUUCAGAAAACAUGCCCUUGAAUUCAAAGCAUGAAAUAAAUACGUAUAUGAAUACAAUAUAUUGUGGUAUAUUAUAAUCAA